GGGGGCGAGCGGUUGUCAUGGAGACCCCCCCCACGGCUGGGCUGUUCCCGGUUGCGUCCUCCUCUCCCGCGCGGGCCCCCCCGGAGCGUAGGGAGGGGGGAAGGGAUGGAGACCCCCCCCCUCCCACCCCACCGCGGGGUCCUGGCUGGGCUCCCCCCUUCGGGACAGGUCGGCGGGGGCGGGGGGACACCGGCGGCCGGAGCUGUCCACCGGGCGGCCGCUGACAGGCGGCCCCGGAGCCGCGGGAGCCUCCCGAGCUCGCGGAGGGCAGGCGAGGAGCCGGGAGCCCGGCGCGCUCCGUCCCGGCGGGAUCCGCUCCCUUCCCUCCGGCCGCCCCGAGAGCCGCGGCUGCUCACGCAUCUCCGCGCCGAAGGAAACACCUGGUCUCCAAGCGCAGCAGCAGCAGCUAAAUGUCUCGGUCCUUUUCUUGUUGUGAGGUCUCCACUGCUGCUCAGAAGAUGGAGCACUUUUUUAUUUUUAGUAACAAUAUCUCUCAUGCUGGGAUGGAAGAAUCUUAAACCAAUUAAACACAUUAGAAGAUAACAGUGUGUAUGGGUUUGGUUCAAGAUCUCCAUUUUCUUCACUCUAGGGUAUGUCCUAGUACCAGCCUUUCUGUCCAAGAUGACAGAAAUAGUGUUAUAAGCUGCUAACUAGAUAAGCAGUACACCUGCUGCUUUGUCAGAUAUUCCCUUGCCAAAAAAAAUCACUAGUGAUGGGUUUUGCUUUUUUUUUUUUUAAUUACAUUACAGGAGGUUCUAUAAAUGAUCUAAAUUUUGAUUUAGGAAAUCGUUUUCAGAUUUCUGUUUCUUUUUAAAGAUUUCUUUUUUAAGAGAAGGGAAGGAAAGGAAGAAGGAGAGAAAGACGGAAAAAAGCAAGAUGAUCCAUUAGUUAGAGUACUGGUAUAGCACUUGGGUGGCUGGAUCAGUUCCCUGUGAAAUGUUGGGUUUGCCAUUCUGGAUAGUGUAUUGUCUCCAGUUCAGAAGUACUUGUCUAYUCAGCUUGGCACUACACAACGUAUGGCCAGGCCUGUGAGCUCCUAACUCCUGCUGAAAUUGGUGGUGAAUAAAUAGCAAGUAAAUACCUUUGAAGAGCCUCA
rnacentral:lncRNA from 1 species